rnacentral:lncRNA from 1 species
GGCCGAAAGGCCAAGUGAGCUUUUCUCAUCACUUGGCGUCCGUCGUCCGUCGUCCGUCGUCGUCCUGCGUUAACUUUUACAAAAAUCUUCUCCUCUGAAACUACUGGGCCAAAUUUAACCAAACUUGGCCACAAUCAUCAUUGGGGUAUCUAGUUUAAAAAAUAUGUCCGGUGACCCGGCCAACCAACCAAGAUGGCCGCCAUGGCUAAAAAUAUAACAUAGGGGUAAAAUGCAGUUUUUGGCUUAUAACUCAAAAACCAAAGCAUUUAGAGCAAAUCUGAC